AAUGUGUGACGUGGCAAAUAUCUGGUGUCAGCGAGGUCAUCUCGAAGUUAUCGAAACCACUGAUCUUCAUCCGUUCUGAAUCACAGAGAAAACCCUACCUUUCGUAUUUUCUUAAUCCUUUUUUAUUGAAUCGGUAACUCCUGGGGAGGAGCUUCAAAUUGGCAAGAGAUAUUCAUGGAGAGAAUCGUUGGAGAUAAGUACAAGCUAGGCCGCAAAAUUGGAAGCGGAUCAUUCGGUGAAAUUUUUCUCGCUACUCAUGUAGAUACACAUGAAAUCGUUGCUGUAAAAAUGGAGAACCGGCAGACUAAGCACCCGCAAUUGCUUUAUGAGGCCAAGCUAUAUAAUUACCUCCAGGGAAUAGUUGGUGUUGCUGGCAUCCAUUGGUCUGGGGUUGAUAUACAGGACAAUGUGCUUGUACUUGACCUUCUAGGGCCUAGUCUUGAGGAUCUAUUCGUGUAUUGCGGAAGGAAGUUCUCAUUGAAGACAGUUCUAAUGUUAGCUGAUCAAAUGCUUACAAGAAUAGAACUAAUGCAUGCUAAAGGAUUUCUUCAUAGAGAUUUGAAGCCAGAUAAUUUUCUAAUGGGUCUAGGCAGGAAAGCAAAUCAGGUCUAUGUUAUUGAUUUCGGACUUGCUAAAAGAUAUCGUGAUCCCACUACAAGUUGCCACAUUCCUUACAAAGCGAACAAAAACUUGACAGGGACUGCACGCUAUGCUAGCUGUAAUACUCACUUGGGAAUUGAACAAAGCCGGCGUGAUGACUUGGAGUCUCUUGGCUAUGUUUUCUUGUACUUUUUGAGAGGGAGUCUUCCAUGGCAGGGUCUCAAAGGUGCAACGAAGAAGCAAAAAUAUGACAAAAUACGUGAAAAGAAGGUUUUAUGCAAGUUUCAUCAUGGGGAGUUUGCUUCUUACUUCCAAUACUGCCGUUCUUUGACAUUUGAGCAACGGCCUGAUUAUGGAUUCUUGAAGCGCCUUUUUCGUGACUUGUUUAUGCGGGAAGGAUAUGAUUUUGAUUAUGUGUUUGAUUGGACAAUCUUAAAGCACCAACAAUCGGAAAAGACCAAGCCACAACAUCAUUCAUCUAGUCGACCAGUUCCUGGAAUGGUCAAUAGAGAAAUGGCGGUACAUUCAAAUAAGCGUCAAGGGGGUAAUGAUGAUUCCUACCAAGCUGGAGCAUCAGAGCGCAGAAGAUCAAGCAAUCCGGCUCGUCCUGACAUGCAUAAUAAAUCAAGAUUACCAUAUGAACUUAAUGAUCGUAUUUCACCUGGGAAACAUACGGUAAGUACUGCACCAAAGGCGCCUACUUCAUCAUCUAUGGCCGGUAACUUUAAAGCACCUCUUUUCAAACCUGAUGAGCCGAUUGAUACGACAAAAGUUGAUCAUGGUAUUGGUGGAAAAGCUGCUGGUGCUUCAAGCAGUUGGAUGCGAUCCUUACACCGUAUUUCGUCAGCCAAGUGAUUGAGAUUAUGAGAAGAGGAUUUACAGACAGCCUCAAUCAAUAGACACUUGUGAAGUAAUUGCUUGGAUGCUUCUGCUCAAGAUUUCAACAUGUAAUUUCUUAAGGUGAUCACAAAGCACAAACAUGUUGAAUGGUGCUUAAAAUUUUCCAAUCUGAGGUUUGAUUGUUAUGAUAAGUAGGUCCUUAAAUGACUAGGCGUUUUGCAAGUUUUAUUCAACUCUGGAUAAUGUUGUAUAGUGUUUUACAAUUCUUUCUCCAUAAAAUAGAUAAUUGGCUGCCCCUUUGUAUUUUCUGGUUGUUUCAACUAGGAAUUUCUUACAUUCAGGACCAAGUUUCUUUUAUGUUGUUCUGGUUCUUUUUUUUUUUGAUUCAGAGUUUUUUGAUGUUUAUUAUCUCAGUUUUAACAUAGGUACCAGAGUUCUUCCGAAUGUGUACGCCAUGAUCUGUAUCAGGUUCUUGUAUGAAGUUUUGGUGUAAGUUCGUGGAUUUUAUAGGACACUGAUGCUUGUCACCAUUACUGGUUUGAAGCUUUUCUCUUGGGAGGUUCCAAGGUAAUUAUGCUAAUGUAGUCAUAUGAUGGAAAAUAUACGUCAAGGCUUUCCUUCAUUUCAUCAUGUGGCUUUUCAGUUUCUCAUCCAUUGGAGCCAUUUCUAAUAAAAGGGUCAUGAGGGUCAAGUUCCAUAUACAUUGCAUCAGGUCCAAGAAAAAGAAUCCACUUUAAGAUUUGAAGGAAUUGGAAGACAUUUUUUGUGAUAAUGGUACCAUGCUAAUACUGUGCAAACUUUCAUGGCCAAUGUGAAUUUUGGUGAUUUUGACCAUGAAAUUUUGCCCAUAUUCUAAGGCCAAGAUGUGUCAUGAAAUUUGGAAAUCUCUAAUAGCUGUACUAAUAUCGUUCAAGCAUAUCCAACCUGUAUAUGAUCUUUUUGUUGCUUCCAUCUGUUUACGAGCGUCGAACCCAGAUAGAUAAAGCUCUUCCUCAAUCAAAUGCCUAUUCACCAACAAAGAAAUACAUUUCUAUAUCUUCGACGGAUAUGUUCAUCUUACUCAGAGUCACAUGUACCACCAGUAGUCUGGAAGAUAUUUAAUUUUGUUUUGAAGGGUGAUCGUUGAUCGAUAAGUAAGGUUGCUCUAUUCUGGUAAAAGGUGGAGGUUACAAUCCUUGGCAAAAGGAAAAUACUCGUACAAAAAAUUUCUUCUCCAACCCUCGGUUUCCAGGAAGAGAUGGGAAUUGUUAGUUGGAAGUAAUAAUGUGUCUUCUUUUUUAUUUGGUAUCCAUGGGUGUUCGGUCAGUUUGCACUCACCUUGACUAAUCCCAUGGGGUCGUGGUGGCCCUGAGGGGACUUGAACUAGUGACCUCUGAGGAGCAAACCCAAAUGUCUUGUUGCAUGUUUAUUUGAUCUGCUGCAAUUACAAUUCUAAUAGUCUAUACUGUCUACCCAAGUGGCAGAGAUGGAGAAGUUGGGAUAUGAUGGAAGAUGGUGCCUGAAAACUCCAACAAAACUGACCGCCAAAAGUUCCAGAUUAUCAGAAUUUGCACAGAAUAAUCUCUGUUAUAUGUCAUCUUUAAGAGCAUGAUUCUGGAGCCGAAUGCAUCAUAUAUUCUGCAAUGAAUCAGCACAACGUAGCCAAUAGUUCCUUUGUUAUGAAAUGAUCUGAUAUCGCAGAUCAAUCCUGCGUCAAUCAUGGGCAUAGCCCACGAAGUGUGUCAUAUGCUUGUGGCCCAAUUCUCGGUAAGUUAGAAUGUGUAGAGUUGCUAUUUAUCUUACAAUUACAAUUUGUUAAAACUAUUUAGGUUAUAUGAUCAGGGUGCUUUU